rnacentral:rRNA from 1 species
AUACGGAAGGUCCGGGCGUUAUCCGGAUUUAUUGGGUUUAAAGGGAGCGCAGGCGGAGAUGCAAGCGUGACGUCAAAUUUCGGGGCUCAACCCCGUCUCGCGUCGCGAACUGCGUCCCUUGGUUGCGGGAAGGGGAGGCGGAACUCGUGGGGUAGCGGUGGAAUGCAUAGAUAUCACGAAGAACUCCGAUCGCGAAGGCAGCCUUCCGGCCCGUCAACGACGCUCAUGCUCGAAGGUGCGGGUAUCAAACAGGAUUAGAUACCCUGGUAGUCCGCACAGUAAACGAUGGACACCCGCGGUUUGGCCUGUAUGGCUGAGCCGCCAAGCGAAAGCGUUAAGUGUCCCACCUGGGGAGUACGCCGGCAACGGUGAAACUCAAAGGAAUUGACGGGG